rnacentral:rRNA from 1 species
CUACGGGACGCAGCAGUGGGGAAUAUUGCACAAUGGGCGCAAGCCUGAUGCAGCCAUGCCGCGUGUAUGAAGAAGGCCUUCGGGUUGUAAAGUACUUUCAGUGGGGAGGAAGGGAGUAAAGUUAAUACCUUUGCUCAUUGACGUUACCCGCAGAAGAAGCACCGGCUAACUCCGUGCCAGCAGCCGCGGUAAUACGGAGGGUGCAAGCGUUAAUCGGAAUUACUGGGCGUAAAGCGCACGCAGGCGGUUUGUUAAGUCAGAUGUGAAAUCCCCGGGCUCAACCUGGGAACUGCAUCUGAUACUGGCAAGCUUGAGUCUCGUAGAGGGGGGUAGAAUUCCAGGUGUAGCGGUGAAAUGCGUAGAGAUCUGGAGGAAUACCGGUGGCGAAGGCGGCCCCCUGGACGUAGACUGACGCUCAGGUGCGAAAGCGUGGGGAGCAAACAGGAUUAGAUACCCUAGUAGUC